ACAGUUUGAUUCUGACUGAAAAAUUAACCUUCUACCAACCAAAAUACAUGUAAAAUAUAAUACUCCCGCACUAAUUACAUAUCUCAAUGAACUAAAUAAAAUGUAUUAAGGACACCUAAAUACAACAGUGCGCCACAGUAAAUAACACUUUUCAAUUUGAGAAAUCAAGAAAAGAGUGUGGUACAAGGGCUGGCAAAAUUCGUGCCAGCUGCCGCGGUUAGACGAUAAGCCCAAGUUAAUACAAUAUAAACUAAAUUAAAGAUAAAUUAAAUAACAACAAAAGUCUAAUUUUUAAAAUAUGGGGUCCACAUUUAUCUAAUAAUAAUGAAAUCAUGAACUAAAACAUGGAUUAGAUACCCAUCUAUUCAUGAUAUAAAUAAUAGUUGAAUAUUACGAACAAUAGUUUAAAAUUCAAAGAUUUUGGCGGUGUCUUAUAAAACCAGGGGAACCUGUCUCAUAACUCGAUAAUCCACGUAUACCCAACCUUCUCUUGAUAUAUUACAGCAUGUGUACUGCCGUUGUAAGCAUACCUCUAAAAGAAUAAGUAUGCCGCUAUGACUAAUAAUUAGCUCAUAUACAUCAGGUCAAAGUGCAGCCAAUGAGAAGGUGAUGAUGGGUUACAACCCCGAACCAGACUAUCAACUAAGAAAUAAAAAAUCUUACAAAAGUGGACUUGGCCGUAAUCAAUUUACAAGUUAAAAAAAUGAAUAAAUAUCUAAGACAUGCACACAUCGCCCGUCACUCUACCCUAAAGGCUAGAUAAGUCGUAACAAAGUAGGUGUAAUGGAAAUUGCACCUGU
rnacentral:rRNA from 1 species